rnacentral:rRNA from 1 species
CCUACGGGAGGCAGCAGUGGGGAAUAUUGGACAAUGGGCGAAAGCCUGAUCCAGCCAUGCCGCGUGUGUGAAGAAGGCCUUCGGGUUGUAAAGCACUUUCAGUGGGGAAGAAAGCCUUGGGGCUAAUACCCUCGAGGAAGGACAUCACCCACAGAAGAAGCACCGGCUAACUCCGUGCCAGCAGCCGCGGUAAUACGGAGGGUGCGAGCGUUAAUCGGAAUUACUGGGCGUAAAGCGCGCGUAGGCGGUCUGAUAAGCCGGUUGUGAAAGCCCCGGGCUCAACCUGGGAACGGCAUCCGGAACUGUCAGGCUAGAGUGCAGGAGAGGAAAGUAGAAUUCCCGGUGUAGCAGUGAAAUGCGUAGAGAUCGGGAGGAAUACCAGUGGCGAAGGCGGCCUGCUGGACUGACACUGACGCUGAGGUGCGAAAGCGUGGGUAGCAAACAGGAUUAGAUACCCCAGUAGUC